rnacentral:rRNA from 1 species
UACAGAGGUCCCGAGCGUUGUUCGGAUUUAUUGGGCGUAAAGGGUGCGUAGGCGGCCCGUUAAGUCAGUGGUGAAAGCCUCCAGCUCAACUGGAGAACUGCCAUUGAUACUGGCGGGCUUGAGUACAGACGAGGUUGGCGGAAUUGAUUGUGUAGCGGUGAAAUGCAUAGAUACAAUCAAGAACACCGAUUGCGUAGGCAGCUAACUAGGCUGUAACUGACGCUGAGGCACGAAAGCGUGGGGAGCGAACAGG